rnacentral:rRNA from 1 species
CUUAUAGUCUUGUAAUUGGAAUGAUGGGAAUCUAAACCCUUCCCAGAGUAUCAAUUGGAGGGCAAGUCUGGUGCCAGCAGCCGCGGUAAUUCCAGCUCCAAUAGCGUAUAUUAAAGUUGUUGCAGUUAAGAAGCUCGUAGUUGAAUUUCUGCCUUAUCAUUAAUUUCGCUUCCGAACGUAAUUUUAUUGAUUUGGCAUCUUCUGGAUUAUAUAUUAUUUUUAAUAUAUUUUUCCAGUAUUUUACUUUGAGAAAACUAGAGUGUUUCAAACAGGCUUUUGCCUUGAAUACUACAGCAUGGAAUAAUGAAGUAGGACUAUUGGUUCUAUUUUGUUGGUUAUCGAACCAUAGUAAUGGUUAAUAGGAGCAGUUGGGGGCAUUCGUAUUUAACUGUCAGAGGUGAAAUUCUUAGAUUUGUUAAAGACGAACUACUGCGAAAGCAUUUGCCAAGGAUGUUUUCAUU